UCCCCUCUCUUAACCCCAAAAAGCUCCAUUUUGAACAGUAAUACUGAGUUUUGCAGGCGUUAUCAUCAGUACUUUAGGAUUGGGCUUGGACCUUAAACAACAUGAAUUACCUUAUUGGAGCUUUCAAGCCAGCCUGUAAUAUCUCCAUCACAUUUACUGAUGGGAAAACUCGUAAGCAGGUUCCGAUGAAGAAGGAAAAUGGUCAGACUGUUAUGGUUCCACUUUUCCAAAGUCAAGAAAAUAUUGCUGGAAAGAUUUCAAUAGAGCCACUUCAAGGGAAGAGGGUUGAACACAAUGGCAUCAAAGUUGAGCUUCUUGGUCAAAUUGAGAUGUAUUUUGACAGAGGCAAUUUUUAUGACUUUACUUCCCUUGUACGUGAAUUGGAUAUUCCUGGAGAAAUAUAUGAAAGAAAAACAUACCCAUUUGAGUUUUCUACGGUAGAAAUGCCUUACGAGACAUAUAACGGGGUGAAUGUGAGGCUUAGGUAUGUUUUGAAAGUGACCAUCAGUCGUGGUUAUGCAGGAAGCAUC
rnacentral:misc_RNA from 1 species